CGUAAUGCUCUAGAUUAGAGUUGAUCCUGGCUCAGGCAUCGAACGCUGGUCGUGACGAUGCCUAAUACAUGCAAGUCGAGCGAACAGAGAAGGAGCUUGCUCCUUUGACGUUAGCGGCGGACGGGUGAGUAACACGUGGGCAACCUACCUUAUAGUUUGGGAUAACUCCGGGAAACCGGGGCUAAUACCGAAUAAUCUAUUUUGCUUCAUGGUGAAAUACUGAAAGACGGUUUCGGCUGUCGCUAUAAGAUGGGCCCGCGGCGCAUUAGCUAGUUGGUGAGGUAACGGCUCACCAAGGCGAUGAUGCGUAGCCGACCUGAGAGGGUGAUCGGCCACACUGGGACUGAGACACGGCCCAGACUCCUACGGGAGGCAGCAGUAGGGAAUCUUCCACAAUGGGCGAAAGCCUGAUGGAGCAACGCCGCGUGAGUGAGGAAGGUUUUCGGAUCGUAAAACUCUGUUGUAAGGGAAGAACAAGUACAGUAGUAACUGGCUGUACCUUGACGGUACCUUAUUAGAAAGCCACGGCUAACUACGUGCCAGCAGCCGCGGUAUACGUAGGUUGGCAAGCGUUGUCCCGAACUUAUUGGGGCCGUAAAAGCGCAGCGCAAGGGCGGGCCCCUUUAGUCCUGAUGUGAAAGCCCACGGUCCAACCGUGGGAGGGNUCAUGCAAACUGGGGGGGACUUUGAAUU
rnacentral:rRNA from 1 species